GUACACGCUGUGACUAGCAUAUCAAUAAGCGGAGGAAAAGAAACUAACAAGGAUUCCCUUAGUAACGGCGAGCGAAGCGGGAAGAGCUCAAAUUUGAAAUCUUAAAGGGUUUCCCUUUACGAAUUGUAGUUUAAAGAAGUGUUUUCUGUUACGAUCGUAAUAUAAGUUCUUUGGAAUAGGACAUCACAGGGGGUGAGAAUCCCGUCUAUGAUUGCGAUUUGUAGCUUUGUGAUACACUUUCAAAGAGUCGGGUUGUUUGGGAAUGCAGCCCAAAACGGGAGGUAAAUUUCUUCUAAGGCUAAAUAUUGGCGAGAGACCGAUAGCGAACAAGUACCGUGAGGGAAAGAUGAAAAGAACUUUGAAAAGAGAGUUAAACAGUACGUGAAAUUGUCAAAAGGGAAGCGUUUGACACCAGUGUUGUUUUCUCGAAAAUCAAUUAAAGAUGGCUCGAUUUUGUAUUGCUGAGACCUUAAAAGCUCACUGUACAUUUUUCGUGUCUUUUUAAUGCACUUUUCGUUUAACAAGUCAACAUCAGUUUCUUUUGUUGUAAAAGGGUCAUUGGAAGGUGGCUUUCUUUUCGGAGAAAGUGUUUAUAGCCUUUGGCCUCUGCAAUCGAAGAGACUGAGGUCUGCAGCGUAGACUCUUCGGGGUUAGAUACAUUUGUGCUAAGUUAUAGCUUUUUAUAGACAACUUGUUGACUAUGAUUAGUCUUGUAGCUUACUCGCUUAUGCUAUUUUACCUACGCUUAGGAUGUUGACGCAUGAGAUAUACGC
rnacentral:rRNA from 1 species